rnacentral:misc_RNA from 1 species
UUAAGUUCAGCGGGUAUUCCUACCUGAUUCGAGGUCAACCUUUCAGAAGUUGGGGGUUUUACGGCGAGGUCGCCACCGAGCUGCCCUUGCGAGGAGAAAACUACUACGCAGAGGAGGCUGCAGCGGGACCGCCACUAGAUUUAGGGGACGGCGGGCGCCCGAGGGCGCCUGUGCCGAUCCCCAACACCAAGCUGGGCUUG